rnacentral:rRNA from 1 species
UACGUAGGGGGCGAGCGUUGUCCGAAGUUACUGGGCGUAAAGCGCGCGUAGGCGGGGGGUUAAGUGAGAGGUGAAAGGCUGGGGCUCAACCUCAUGCAGUGCCUCUCAUACUGGCCUUCUUGAGGGCGGUAGGGAGAAGUGGAAUGGCUGGUGUAGCGGUGAAAUGCGCAGAUAUCAGGAGGAACACCGGUGGCGAAGGCGGGACUCCGGGCCGAUACUGACGCUGAGGAGCGAAAGCGUGGGGAGCAAACAGG